CCUACGGGAGGCAGCAGUGAGGAAUAUUGGUCAAUGGACGCAAGUCUGAACCAGCCAUGCCGCGUGCAGGAAGACGGCUCUAUGAGUUGUAAACUGCUUUUGUCCGAGGGUAAAUCCCGAUACGUGUAUCGGGUUGAAAGUAUCGUACGAAUAAGGAUCGGCUAACUCCGUGCCAGCAGCCGCGGUAAUACGGAGGAUUCAAGCGUUAUCCGGAUUUAUUGGGUUUAAAGGGUGCGUAGGCGGUUCGAUAAGUUAGAGGUGAAAGCCCGGGGCUCAACUCCGGCACUGCCUCUGAUACUGUCGGGCUAGAGUUUAGUUGCGGUAGGCGGAAUGUAUGGUGUAGCGGUGAAAUGCAUAGAGAGCAUACAGAACACCGAUUGCGAAGGCAGCUUACCAAACUACGACUGACGUUGAGGCACGGAAGCGUGGGGAGCAAACAGGAUUAGAUACCCCUGUAGUC
rnacentral:rRNA from 1 species